UUCUUCUUCUUUUUUUUUUUUUUUUUUUUUUUUUUCAUUUUGCCAUGGUUUUGACUCAGCCAUGGCCAUGACUCUUCGGGGGUCAGAGAUGAUGGGUGGUGAUGAAAUGACCCAGUCAACUUUCAGCUUGGAUUUUUUGGAGCUAACAAGCCCUGACAUAAACAGAGAUAAAAAUAUCAAAGUGCUAGUGCCAUUAUUGAUGCUGAUAUAUCUUAAAUCUUUCUCCUUUAAGUUUACCUAGGAUGUUUCUUAUUCUGAGCCGAUCAAUAACAGAAAUUGGUACCAGGAGUGGGAUAUGAGCCACCAUUUCAACACCUUUAUUUCAUUAUCAGAAUCUUCAUGAACAUAGGGGAGUCCCAUACAUUCAAAUUUUAUGACUCCAACUGGAGUGCUGGGCCAGAGAGGAAUAAUAGAGAAUAAUGAGAAUUUAAGUCAUGCAGUCACUUCCGCCUACCAUUUCUCUCGAGUAUUCCCCUAGACUGAGUGUUAAAAGGGAGAUGUUAAUCUAUAGCUCCCUCAAUUGGUCAUAGAUUCUCUGCCUUACAGCGUGAGCUUCUCACUGUGCAGGGUGUGAUUCUAGUGUUUAAAGAUAAGUUUUUUUAUACAAGAUGGCCUCAAAUACAAGCCAACUACUUCAUCUGGUGCUCACCCAAAGAAUGAGCCAUCUGUUUGAAUGCUGAAGGAAAAAUUGGCUGUGUUGGACAUAUUGAGAGUCUGCCUCCAACAUGGUCUGUAAAUGUUGUAUACUGUAUUUUAAAGGUGACUUAGAUUUCCAAGCAUAAUUUUGACUUUAUGAUGUUUUUUUUCCUAGUAUGUACAUCUCUGUAUGAGAAGUAAACUCCGCUAUAGUACAUGUUGCAUCCUUCCAGUGUCCCUCUGUUACUGGAUAACAUAGGUCUCUGAAGGCAAGAGGUCAGCAAGAGAAGCCUGUGUCAGCAGAGUAUGAAAGGACCUUGAUGUGGAUGUGGAGCGAGUGCCUACAUAGAAGAGGGGUGGAGCCGCCACCCUGCUCUAGACUGCCGCGGAAGCCCUUUCCCUGAAUGGCAGGGAACAAAGCUCAAGCCACUCCAGAAUCCUCCCCUCGCCACUCUGAGAGGCAAUAUGGAGUCUGCAUCCCAGCUACAGGUUUGGCCAGUGUCCAACCCUGGACCAGCAUCACGGCCAGGGUGGGAGAGGAACUACCUUUGGUGUCUGGAAGCACAAAUUUAUUUGUCAUUUGGAACCUGCGAUAUGGAUCAGUCUUUCCUCAUGGCCAGACCUCACCUGAAAAAGCAACGACCAGGACAAGACUCUGGACAAAGUCUGCUGGUUAGGGGGCAGCUGCUCUGAUGGCCACAGAUACGGGGCUGUAUGUAGACUCGUUUUGUCAAAUAGACAUGCUGGAUGAGAUCUCUAAGGUUAUUUCCAGCUUUGACAUUUUAUCAUCUGACAAUGUGUAGGUUUUGAUAUUAACCAAGAAUCAGUUCUGCUCCAUUUGUUUAAAAUAAAUCUCUUCACCUGUUGGUCACACUUCUUUAGUGAUGAGACCAGGUUCUACUGAGGGCAGAAGAGAAGGUGAAAUCUGCAAGUCCUCUAGAUUCCUUUCUACAUUCACAUGUGUAUCAACUCUGCUUUCUCUUCCUUCUACUAGACCAUGAGUUGUUUGGGAACAGGAGCUGUGUCUUGUUAAUCUUGCUUUUCCCAAUGUCAAGCAUGGUGCCUGCAUUCAGGGUUUUGUGAAGCAGAAAACCUCUGAAGUUAUCCUACGCCUAGUUGACCUAGUCAAAAUCAGGCUGGCGGUUCUUGCAGUGGGUGUUCCUAUCUCUACUGCAUAGUCACAUCACCAGGUGAGCUCAGGCAGAAGACCUUGAGGGCAAGGCAUCUGUUGAUGGGAACCCAAGCAGUAAGGACACCCUGCCUGUGAUCGACUCCAACACAGUGAUCUAUUUGAUCUUCACUGCCUACCUGAAGAAAUUACAUAGGCCCCACUGUGUGUCUGUCAUUGAACUAGGUUCUGAGGAUACAAAAUUGAAUGAGAUGUGAACCUUAUCCAUAAGAUAUUUGGAGUCUCACUGGGGACAGAGACAUCGAAUAAUCAGUAAUCAAAGUAAGUAAAUCACUUGGUCUUUGAAAUCGGAUAGACAACAUUUAAACCCCUCUUUCACCACUUCCUGAUUCUCAACCUCCUUAUCUAGAAAACUGAUACAAUUUCUGCCUUGUAUUUCAGGUGCAGGGGAACAACAUAUGUCAAGGCAGGUGGCCACAGAACAGCGUGAUCAGUAAGAAGUUGUUUUUUUUUUUUUAUUUGAUCAGUAAGAAGUUUGAGAAAAUCAGAUAAGGGCUGUUCUGAAAGAGACCUUUGACUUUUUAAAUCUGUGGAAUAUACUUAUUGAAAAUACUGAUAUCUGCUAACCACAUUAUUGCCUAUCAUUCCCAGCCCUGGCUCUAUAAGACCAUUUUCAUGUAAUCUUUAUUUCAGCCAGACUGUUAAUUACUGUUCCUCUAAACACUCUGCUCUUUCCAGCUUCUGAGCUUUCCCUAGGGGGUUCCCACCUUAGCAUCUUCUUCUUUUUUUAAUGUUUAUUUUUUAUUUUGAAAGAGACAGAGUGUGAGUGGGAUAGGGGAUAGACAGAGGGGGAGAGAGAGAAUCCCAAGCAGGCUCCGUGGAGCCUGAUGCAGGGCCUGAACUCAUGAAUCGUGAGCUGAAAUCAAGAGUUGGACGCUUAACCCACUGAGCCACCCAGACAUCCCUGUCUUAUGCAUAUUUGUAUCCCCUCAGUACUUACUCAAUGUCUUAUAUGUCUUACACAUAGUGGAUGACAUCUAAAUAUUUGUGAAGUUGAAUUUGGUGAGGCAAGCCAUUCUUGUCUUAUAGCUACAGAACAAGAGCUAAUCUGUAGUUGUAAAGGUUCUGGAUCAUUGAAUGAAAGCUGCUCUUUCAGCAGAUCAUAAUUGUGCAAAGCUGUUAAGUGUAUACUUUUGAAAAACAGGUUUUGCUGUGUUACUGAGUUCAUGUUGCCAUGACAACCUUAACUUUUGGCACUUUCUGAAUUUAGUGUCCUACUUAAUUUCCUGUGUUUGGCUCUGAGAGACCAUAUUGUUCUGUCCUUUUCGUUUGCUUUUACAAAUCUUUGAACUGAAAAUCAUUUAUAAAUUUAUUUUAUUUGCCUUAUUAGGUCCUUAAUAGGAUCUGAAGACUGGGGACUUGGUCUGUUACCUUUGGGAUCCCUGAUAGCACACAGGAAUGCCCUAUACUUUUUAGACAUUGUGUGUGUCAAUAUACAUUGUAGAUGAAUUGAGAAAUUGUUGGUGCAGUAGGGCAGAACAAUGUUUGCCCCAAAGAUGUUUAAAUCCCAAUCCUUGGAACCUGUGAAUAUGUCACCUUACAAAGUAAAAGGGGCUUGCAGAGGUGAUUAAGAAUUUUGAGGGGCUCUUGGGUGUGGCUCAGUUGGUUGGUGUCCAACUUCACUUUGGCUAAGGUCAUGAUCUCGGGGUUUGUGAGUUCGAGCCCUACAUUGGGCUCUCUGGCUGUCAGUGCAGAGCCCAUUUGGGAUCCUUUGUCUCCCUUUCUCUCUGCCUCUCCCCCACUCAUCCUCUCUGUCUUUCUCUCUCUCUCUCAAAAGUAAGUAAACAUUAAAAAAAAAAGAAAAAAGAAUUUUGAGACAGGGAGGUUAUCCUGGAUCUUCCAGGUGGGCCAAUGUAAUCAUAAGGGCCUUUGUAAGAGGGAGGCAGGAGGAACAGGGUCAGUAGCAGGAAACUGAUGAUG